GAUGAACGCUGGCGGCGUGCCUAAUACAUGCAAGUCGAGCGAAGCGGGGACGGGUGAGUAACACGUGGAUAACCUCCUAUAAGACUGGGAUAACUUCGGGAAACCUGAUCUAAACCGGCUUCUUAUAGCUGGUUCCGCGCUGCCUUGGCUAGUUGGUAAGGUAACGGCUUACCAAGGCAACUAUGCAUCGCCGACCUGAGAGGGUGAUCGGCAACACUUGAACUGAGAAACGGUCGAGAAUCCUACGGGAGGCAGAAGUAGGGAAUCUUCCGCAAUGGGCGAAAGCCGGACGGAGCAACGACGCGUGAGUGAUGAAGGUCUUGGGAUCGUAAAACACUGUUAGUAGGGAAGCGGUAGGUAAAGAGAAAGCAACGGCUAACUACGUGCCAGCAGCCGCGGUAAUAG
rnacentral:rRNA from 1 species